AUUGAACGCUGGCGGCAUGCUUUACACAUGCAAGUCGAACGGUAACAGGGUGCUUGCACCGCUGACGAGUGGCGAACGGGUGAGUAAUGCGUCGGAACGUGCCGAGUAGUGGGGGAUAACGCAGCGAAAGUUGUGCUAAUACCGCAUACGUACUGAGGUAGAAAGUGGGGGACCUUCGGGCCUCACGCUAUUCGAGCGGCCGACGUCUGAUUAGCUAGUAGGUGAGGUAAAGGCUCACCUAGGCGACGAUCAGUAGCGGGUCUGAGAGGAUGGUCCGCCACACUGGGACGAGGACACGGCCCAGAAUCCUACGGGAGGGAGCAGUGGGGAAUUUUGGACAAUGGGCGAAAGCCUGAUCCAGCCAUGCCGCGUGUCUGAAGAAGGCCUUCGGGUUGUAAAGGACUUUUGUCGGGGAGGAAUCCCCAGCGUUAAUACCGCUGGGGGAUGACAGUACCUGAAGAAUAAGCACCGGCUAACUACGUGCCAGCCGCCGCCGUAAAAC
rnacentral:rRNA from 1 species